AUCGCAUAACAGACUAUAUUAUACCACUUUGGAAUUUUUAUUAAUCAGACUAAUGCAAAAUAAAAGUACCUGGGACUGUUAUAAAAUCUGCAUUUGGGUGUUUCUUCCAUGGUAUGGUAAGUAAUCAAAUGCUGAUAUCAAGGGAGAAAUUGCAAUGAGGAAAUUCUGAGUAAGUUGACCAAAUAUUUUACUAACUAGCCAAUUGCACUCACUCACUUUUGUUAAAAAAAAUAUAUAUAUAUUGUACUUACCCAAUGUUUGUCCUGAGAAAGAGUUCUUGUUUUUACUAUGAAUAUUAGUCUAAGAGCUCUGCAUUGAGUCUAGUAAUUUAAACCUAGCGGCAUCUGGUGAAAGAAAAUCGCUAAGGGCCAUCAAUAUACCCGUAUCCCCUAAUAAUGAAACCCACAAUAAUUUUUGCUAAAUAUUUAUCCAAAUGCAAUCUCUCUUGAAAGUAUUUCCUUAUAUCUUGUUUUAGUGCCUCGUAUCUUUAACCAUGCAAUAUCUUGAAUCUUUAAUUGCCUUCUAUGUCAACUUGAAGGAUGUGAAUCAGGGUGCAGCAACUUUCUCUCAAGUUUCUAACCGUCACUUGCUGACUCCACAUUAGGGCCAUCUUCCUAAGCAUCAAGGACCAAGGAUUGGAAGUGAUAUCAGAAGGUUUGGAUACAUUGAAAAACAUGGCCCAUGAUUUGAAUGAGGAAAUGGAUAGGCAAGUUCCUUUAAUGGACGGAUUGACACUAAGGUUUGAGAACACAUCUUGUCCUAGUUAUAUCUAAAGCUACAAGUAUUCUUAAAUUAUUAAUGGUGUAUUUCUUCACAUCCUACAGGUCGACAAUGCGGCAUCUGACCUUAAGAACACCAAUGUGAGACUUAAGGAUACUAUUAACCAGCUGAAGUCCAGUCGAAAUUUCUGUAUUGAUAUUAUGCAUAAUUCUUGGGAUUGUCGCCUAUCUAUACAAAGACUGAGAGGAUUGAAAGCCAUGGGAAGCAUCAUGGAGAGCGAUUCAGAAUGACAGUGAAGGAUGGAUAGGGGCUUUCCUUCGGAUUCUUAUUUCUCUUCUUUCUUCUUUUUUCUUUUUUCCCUCUAAUCUGAUGGGGGAGUUAGGUGUUUUGGUUCACUUUCUUCUUAUUUUUUGUGUUAAAUGGGGGAGGGAGUGGUGAGAGAGAGAGAAGAGGGUAAUGUU